UCGCACGAGAAAGGGAGCAAUCCUAAGUAAAGUGGCGCACGGGUGAGUAACACGUGGAUCAUCUACCUUUUAGUGGGGAAUACCUCUGGGAAACCGGAGACAAUACCGCAUAAGCCCGAGAGGGGAAAGCAGCAAUGCGCUGAAAGAGGAGCCCGCGGCCGAUUGGCUAGUUGGUAGGGUAAGAGCCUACCAAGGCAGAGAUCGGUAGCCGGCCUGAGAGGGCACACGGCCACACUGGCACUGAAACACGGGCCAGACUCCUACGGGAGGCAGCAGUGGGGAAUCUUGCACAAUGGGGGCAACCCUGAUGCAGCGACGCCGCGUGAGCGAUGAAGCCCUUCGGGGUGUAAAGCUCUUUCGGCAGGGAAGAUUAUGACGGUACCUGCAGAAGCAGCUGCGGCUAACUACGUGCCAGCAGCCGCGGUAAUACGUAGGCAGCGAGCGUUGUUCGGAGUUACUGGGCGUAAAGGGUGUGUAGGCGGUUCUUUAAGUUUGGUGUGAAAUCUCCCGGCUCAACCGGGAGGGUGCGCCGAAUACUGAGGGACUAGAGUGUGGGAGAGGAAAGUGGAAUUCCUGGUGUAGCGGUGAAAUGCGUAGAUAUCAGGAGGAACACCGGUGGUGUAGACGGCUUUCUGGACCAUAACUGACGCUGAGACACGAAAGCGUGGGUAGCAAACAGGAUUAGAUACCCUGGUAGUCCACGCCCUAAACGAUGCAUAUUUGGGUGUGGGUCAUUCAGCUGAUCCGUGCCGGAGCUAACGCGUUAAAUAUGCC
rnacentral:rRNA from 1 species